CUCUUUCAGGCCCCUGUAACUGCCUUCAUACCAACUGACAAACCUGUUCCUCCUUGGAAUUCUGAGCAAGCUCCAGUAUUUACAGUGCUACUGUCAUCACAAAAGGAUCCAUGGGUGAGGCCCAGUGCGGUUACUGAGAAUCCAGCUGAACUUCAGUCAUGAAGAUCCUUCAUUGCCUCUCUGCUGCCAUCUUACUAUUACUAUGGACUGUUCAAGAAGACAGCCCUGCAGACGCCGCACUUCUUACUUGCUCCUCCAUGGGAGGGUACUGCAUUCAGCCAGUCAAUCAGACCUGCCCUUCGGGUCUAUUCCUGGAUGUGCCCUGCCAUUUCAAAAGAGUCUGCUGCUCAAAGAUGGGGGAUUAGCCUUCAUGUGCAUCCUCACCCAUCUCACCUGUUCUUCAAGUUGGCUGCUGGAAGCUCAGCUGCAAUGACUUCUGUCAGCAAGGCCUUCCUCGCCAUUCUGAAACAACACUUGGGAACAACCAGCAUUGAUUGUCCAGGAAUCCUCAUUGAUUGUUCAGACCUCAUCUAAGAUUUUAUUUCAGUCAUAUCUUCAUGUAUCUAUGCUUGGCAAAUAAAGUUCCCCUGUGGAAGGAGGGGCAAA